CAAUAGCGUAUAUUAAAGUUGUUGCAGUUAAAAAGCUCGUAGUUGGAUUUCUGGUGGGAGCGAUCGGUCUGGCGCUUAGCGCGAGUACUUGCAUCGUCUCCGGCCAUCCUUGGGGAGAGUCUGUCUGGCAUUAGGUUGUCGGGCAGAGGAUCCUCAUCGUUUACUGUGAAAAAAUUAGAGUGUUCAAAGCAGGCUUAUGCCGUUGAAUAUAUUAGCAUGGAAUAAUAAGAUAGGACUUUGGUACUAUUUUGUUGGUUUGCGCACCAAAGUAAUGAUUAAUAGGGACAGUUGGGGGUAUUCGUAUUCCGUUGUCAGAGGUGAAAUUCUUGGAUUUACGGAAGACGAGCUACUGCGAAAGCAUUUACCAAGGAUGUUUUCAUUAA
rnacentral:rRNA from 1 species